UACGGGGGGGACGAGCGUUGUUCGGAUUUACUGGGCGUAAAGGGCGCGUAGGCGGACCUUCAAGUCGGGUGUGAAACCUGUCGGCUUAACUGACAGCCUGCACUCGAUACUGUUGGCCUUGAGUACGGGAGAGGAGAGUGGAAUUCCUGGUGUAGCGGUGAAAUGCGUAGAUAUCAGGAAGAACACCAGUAGCGAAGGCGGCUCUCUGGACCGAUACUGACGCUAAAGCGCGAAGGCUUGGGGAGCAAACAGGAUUAGAUACCCUGGUAGUCCAAGCGGUAAACGAUGGGUACUAGGUGUCGGGGGUAUCGACCCCUCCGGUGCCGGAGCUAACGCACUAAGUACCCCGCCUGGGGAUUACGAUCGCAAGAUUGAA
rnacentral:rRNA from 1 species